UACGUAGGGGGCGAGCGUUGUCCGAAGUUACUGGGCGUAAAGCGCGCGCAGGCGGUCUUCCAAGUCAGUGGUGAAAGCCCGGAGCUCAACUCCGGAACUGCCAUUGAAACUGUUGGACUUGAGUACGAGAGAGGUGAGUGGAAUUCCCAGUGUAGAGGUGAAAUUCGUAGAUAUUGGGAAGAACACCGGUGGCGAAGGCGGCUCACUGGCUCGUAACUGACGCUCAGGCGCGACAGCGUGGGGAGCAAACAGG
rnacentral:rRNA from 1 species